AAAUUAAUAAAAACAUAUGUAGAUUUUUUUAAAUUGGACGUAUUGUUAUUUUUAUCCUAGUCGAAAUUAUAAAACGAAACGUUUUGACUGUCCGUUUGCCAAUGAGCAGUGAUCAAUUUUUUUUGUUUGUUUUUUAUUGUUUACCUACUAGACUAGAUGAUGAAUUGCCUCCAAAACGCUUUAAAAACUUUCAUUUAUAAUUCUAAGUGUGUGUAUAAUUAAAGAGCUACAGUGACAUAAAAUGAAUUCUUCAAGAAAGGCAGCACCCACGUCAAAAGAUGAGACGAUGAUUCCAGUAGAACUUGUGGCGGCGAAUAAAAUUAUCAAUAUUAUGGCAACAAAUGCCACAAACAAUUAAUUGAAGGAAUAGGCUCGGUAAACCCUUGUAAAUGAUUUUAAUUCGUCGAUAGCAAGUUUCCCACGAACUCUAUCGCAACUUCGACUAAAAUGGGAAAACUUAAAGAAGCUCGCAAACGCUGCGCCAACUUAUGAAACAACCUUAAAGACUGAGCCAAACGGAAACACAUGAAGAAAGAAGAAAAAUGCAAGGCUACAGAAUGCAUUAGCAGAAUACUUAAUAGCAAAAACAGAGACCUAACUUGGAAAAUGUUGAAAACGAGAUUGUUGUCGCAAAACUUAAGUUAGAUAAUUAGGUAAUAAUUUUAUGUUCGAUAGUUUUUUAAGUAUGUGUACAAAUUCUAAAUUAAAUAUCUUGCAUGUACUAACUACUGUGUAAUUAUCAUUUUGGAAAAUA
rnacentral:misc_RNA from 1 species